GAGACCAAUCUCCUGCACAUGUCAGCCUCCGCUUUAAUGAGAUAUUUGACUAAAGAGGCAUCUAAAACUAGUAGCUUAAAGAAGGAAGUAGUCAAAGGAUCACGCCUUCUGCGCACAUCAACCUCUUCUGUGAAGACGCGUUUGCACAAAGACAAGUCCGAGACUAAAAACCUAGGCAAGAACGUUGGUGAA